UGCAAAGCAUGAAAAUAUGCACAUUAAAUGCCUCAAAUGUUAAGAUAAGCAAAUACUUAUUUGCCACAACUCUGAAGUUACUGCCAAAACCUCUGAAGAUGGCUCUGCUGAAAGGAUGAAAUCCCUCUACAGAUCCUGGAACAACUCAGAAGGAAGUGCAGUCAGGCACAGCGUGCCCUGUGCUGAGAGGAGCAGGUGGGAACAGAGCAGCUCCCAGAACACCGGUGUGAGGACAAGGAUGACUCAAGAGUCCCUUCUGGCUCCACUUUCUGAAUCACUGCGGAGCGACCAACCCAGCAUCGCACGUGGACAUGGAGCAGCCCUUAUGGCCUGCAACUUGCUCAGCCACAAGGAAAUGGAGAAAUUCUUCCUUUUGAAAGCCAGUUUUCCAAGAGAUUUGGAAAUAUGGGUACCACCAUGAUAUUCUGAUUUUAUAUGAGACUUUUAAUGCAGCUGAAAUGAUCAGAGAUAAUAAAGGAGAGUGUGCAGACCCAGGUACCCUCACAAACCUCACACUUGUUGGCUCGCUCAGGCUUUCAUCAAGGCAAUGCUAAGGGCAGUUGAUUGCAGCAAUUUCCCUUCUUUGCUUUCCCACUUGCAAAGUAAUUGCUGAGGGAUAUUAAAAUACAUAAGGGAAGAAACAUUUGGGCUGAAGUUUUUAUCCUCCAAAAAUCAGACGAUGUUUUCCCAGACAGCAUCAAAAAGAGCAUCUCUUAAGCUACUUAUUAAUGUUUAAACAUGUUUAUUUCAAGUGAUAGCAGUGCUCUUUGAUAAGUAAUGAUCCAGGUAAAAUAAAAAUAGCUAACAAA